GUUGGCAACCGGCUUGGAAUCGCCCAGCUGUCCCCUCAGACGGCAGCCCGUGGCCGUCCCCUUCGCCGUGGGAUGCGGGGAUUUGGGGCGGCUGAAGGAGUCGGGGCCCCCACCACCGCAGCGCUGCUGCCCUCACAGGGGCCGGGCCCCCCCGAGCCUCCAGUGCUUGUUGAGGUUUCAGUCUCCAUUCUGCUGAUCCGAAAGAAAGAAGGCGGCUUUUGGAGGACUUGAUCAUCGCGAGUCGAGCUGCUGCUGAACCUCCCCUUCCAACAUCCAGCAGGUUUGUUCUGCAGGCCCCAAUGAUGGCACAGGCAUGAAAGAGCCCAGAGCUCGUCGCUGGGGAGAGGCUGCGUAUGGCGUUGUGAAGGGAGAGAUGGAGGAGGGGUUUGAGCAGCGCUGUGCAGGAAUGAACGGCUGGUAAGAGAAGAGGCAGGAGUCGGGCAGCGGUACUGCAGCUCCUCUGGCAGCUUUGCAGCUCAGUUGGGAAGCAGAAGAUGUGGAUGUGAAAGAAGAAGUCCGUUGCUGGGACGUUCCCCUGUUCUUCCCCCAGCUGUCCCCUUGCUUUCCACAAGGCUGCCCUUUCCUUUCUCAUGACAGCCCACCCAUCAUUCCCUCAGAGCCCAUAUAUCCCUCCCAGUGUUUCCCAGCAAGACCCCUAGAGACACCCUGUAGCCCCCCACAGAGCCCUGGAGCCCCUCAAGGACCCCCUCAGACGCAGUACACCUCCCCCAUAGCUGGCCCAUAGCCACAUGGAGCCCCACAGUCCCCAGCAGCACCCCAUGUCCCCCACUGGGCUUCCACGGAAUCCUUCUAUUUCCUCCCUCAGACCUCCUUUACACCUCCAAGAUCCUCCCUGGGAACUCACUAACCCCCAUGUUCCCUGACAGGACCCCCAUCACCAUCCCAGGACCCCCAUAGCCCACCUUUGGCCUCUCCUCCCCCCGACCUGCCUCCAGAUCCCGUACAACCUCACAGUGCUGUGACAUGGAUGGCUUCUGCAGCUGACUUGGAUUUCUUCUGCCACUGUCCUGUGAAGGAGUUGAUUUGCUUCAGUCCAUCCCUGCCCCGUUCCUGGCUCGGGUGUCCCUCAUGGCCACGCAGCACCACAGCAGCCAAGCUCCAAUCCCUUCCCCGGUCUCAGUGGGAUCAGUUUGUUCUGUUCUCAUCCACUUACAGAAACAGAAGCUACCAACCCACCAAACCCUGGGACAGGUAUUUCCCUACAGAAGCAUUCAUGUCCUUCUGCUGGCCCCUUUGGCCAGUUCCCAGCUCUCCAAACUGAGGCGUACACUGCAGCCCCCCCCAUGGCUUCUUUCUGGCAGCUGUGGCGCAGCCCCACCCCGAGGAGGAGAUGCCUUUUCCCCACAUGCAGCUGGUUCUAUGGCCACAUGGGGUGAAGACGUGGGGUUGUGGGUCACAUGGGGGUCCUGCAGCAUCACAGAGUUACAAGGUUGAGUGGGGCUAUGGGGACAGAUGGGGUUCUGAAUCACAGUGAUAGGGUCAGAUUGGAUGGUAGGGACAGAUGGGGUGACAUGGAGUUACGGAUCACAUGGGUUGUAUGGUCGGGGUGAGGUGGGGGCAGGGAUCCCAGAGUUAUGGGCCCACAUGGCGUCGGGUCACAGCGUGAUGGAGGCAGGCAGAGUCAGGGCGUCACAGGAUCAUGUGGGGGUAUGGUUCCCCCAGGGCUGUGGGUCACGUGCAGCCAUGGGGUCAUGCACAUAAAGGGCGAUGAGGUCAUCUUGGGUUAUGGCUCAUGUGGGGUAACGGCUCAGGGCCCCACCUUUGGGCCACAGGGACGCCCAGUCCCCUCUCAGGAUGAAAUGAAACCACUGCAAACUCUGCCCCCCCCCUCUUUUUACCUCAAACCGCUCCCCACAUCCUCCCAUACUCUCUACGUCUCUAUACUACCCCAUGCCCCUGUGUCCCACCUGCAGCCCACGUCUUGUCUUCUCCUGAACAGCAUUCUGCUCCUGCAGCCUGUGUUCCCACAUCCCUUAAUGUCCCUAUAUCCACCAAACACACCCCCAGAGAGCCCUAUAGCUCCUCAAGGACCUUCUCAGACUCAGCACAUCUCCCCCACAGACUUUGCACAAGGCCUUUUGCUUUUGCACACCUUUGCGUGCACAUGGAUGGAGUGCGCACAUAGGUCUGUGCAAGGAUGCGUUUGCACGUGUGUGUGAAUGCACUGGUGUGUGUGCAGGGAAAUCUUUGCACGUGGCUGUGUGGUUCUGCACACAUCCCUGCACGCAGAUGUGCGUGCACGGGAGCAGCGGAGACUUCUAACCGGAGAUUUCUGGGAGCGUUGGAACUCCUGUGAGAGUGCUGGAGAGCACAGGGCCGGGAAGCACAGCUCCACAGCACUGCGCUCUGCACAACAGCCUGCAGGACGGCACGGAGCGCUGACAGAACCAGGACACAGCGCCAUAGCAGGCACUGCAAAGGAAACAGCUCCAUCCCAGCCGCAACAGUGACAGGCAGGCAGGCACUGGGGAGGGCUGCACGGCAGAGGGACGCCCUCUGAGUGCCACAACCUGGAGCGCUGUCUGCAAGCAGAACAGUGCCGGGAUGGCAGCCUGGUGGUCCUAAGCUGCAGAGAUGCUGCUCUGGACCAACAGCCUGUCAUUUUUUCAGAAAACGCCGUCCUUUUGCUGAACUUUGCUCAUUGUACACCCGUCAUCACAGCAAAAAACGCUCAGUGCUGCCCUGGGAAACUCAGCAAUCUCCACAGCAUUGCUCUCCAAGUUAGCACGCUCAUGGCCAGGCUUUGUUCCCUGCAGCUCUUUGCACGUGCUUUGCAGACAGUCUGUUUGUGGGCAGUGCAAAGGACUGCUGCAUCCAUUGCAUCACUGGACGGCAGCAUUCGCUGACGGAGCUGUGGCAGUUCUGAGCGAGCGCCGCGAGACCAAUAACGAGGAGGUGGUGCAGCAGCUCUCCGAGUGCCGCUGGACAAAUCAGGCCGUGCGCUCUUUGUGAAUCUAUAAAUUUGACUGGUGUUUAAUGACUACGUUUGAAGGUGGAGUGCUGAGAUGGGCGGCACUCAGUGCUGCCCUGUAACGCCGCGCACUGCAGAAGCUGCUUCCUGCUUAUGCUCCUCCUCUCAGUCCUUCAGCUGCAGCUUCUGCAUCAUCUCCACAAGGCUGUCCACUGCGGAGGCCUGGGAAGAAACGGAGCGAGGGUAGAAACAGGACACCACUUCCCUCGGGAUUUUACAGUCUCUUCCUUUCAUGUGUGACAGACAGAGGCCCUGAGAACAACAAGAGCCGUGUCUGUGUUCACCAAGGACUCACCUCUGCACGUGCAGCAGCAGCUCUGAGGGCAGCCUUCUUCAGCUCCACUCUCCUCUCUUUCUGUCGCUGUCUUCUUGCUAUAA